ACGGAAGGCAGCAGUGGGGAAUAUUGCACAAUGGGGGGAACCCUGAUGCAGCGACGCCGCGUGAGUGAAGAAGUAUCUCGGUAUGUAAAGCUCUAUCAGCAGGGAAGAAAAUGACGGUACCUGACUAAGAAGCCCCGGCUAACUACGUGCCAGCAGCCGCGGUAAUACGUAGGGGGCAAGCGUUAUCCGGAUUUACUGGGUGUAAAGGGAGCGUAGACGGCGGUGCAAGUCUGAUGUGAAAGCCCGGGGCUCAACCCCGGUACUGCAUUGGAAACUGUACUGCUAGAGUGCAGGAGAGGUAAGUGGAAUUCCUAGUGUAGCGGUGAAAUGCGUAGAUAUUAGGAGGAACACCAGUGGCGAAGGCGGCUUACUGGACUGUAACUGACGUUGAGGCUCGAAAGCGUGGGGAGCAAACAGGAUUAGAUACCCUGGUA
rnacentral:rRNA from 1 species